GACUCCUCGAGUUAUGCCAGACCCGAUAGAGAAGUAAAGUGCGAUAAAAAAAAAGACGAACGGAAUUGGAAUCUGAUUUUGUUUCUUUCCUUGGUGCUAUGAGCGACCUCCAAUUUUAAUUGUGAUUUCAAUGCUAUAAAUAGUUCAAAACGCUGCUUGUUCUCAAAAAUUGAAAAUUCUCAAAUAUACAAGACUAAGCCACUUCCACAGUUCCACGCAUUUUCACUUCACUGACUUUGGAGCUUUGUCUUGAAUAGAACUCUCCAGAAACUUUAGGCGCUAGUAAGAGCUUCUUCCGAAGCCCUAGCGAGCAAGUAGAAAGAUAUUCGCGCUGAAUCUGCGAGUUUCCGAUGGCGUUUUGGUGGCCAUUGCUUGUCUUAGCAUUCGCGUACGGACUCUGCAGGUUCCUUUUCAUGCUUAUUCCUCCCAAGGUUCCUUCCAUCGAUGUUGAAGCUUCCGACGUGUUGGAUGAUGGAAACCAAGCGCAGGAGAAUAGCUUCAUAUAUGUUCCUCCGAGAGGAACGUCACAGCAAUCUGGAAAGAUAGUUCAGUGCUAUGAGCCUGCGACUAUGAAAUAUUUAGGAUAUGUUCCUGCAUUGACGCGUGAUGAGGUCAAGGAUCGUGUGGCAAAAGUAAGAAAGGCUCAAAAAAUGUGGGCAAAGACCAGCUUCAAGCAAAGACGCACGUUUUUGCGUAUACUGUUGAAAUAUAUAAUCAAACAUCAAACGCUCAUAUGCGAAAUAUCUUCGCGUGAUACUGGAAAGACCAUGGUAGAUGCCUCUUUAGGAGAAAUUAUGACAACUUGUGAAAAGAUCAAUUGGCUACUGUCAGAAGGCGAACAGUGGCUAAAGCCUGAAUACCGGUCUUCUGGAAGAUCAAUGCUUCACAAGAGAGCAAAAGUAGAAUUCCACCCCCUUGGUGUUAUUGGUGCCAUCGUUUCAUGGAAUUAUCCUUUCCACAAUAUUUUUAAUCCAAUGCUGACAGCUGUUUUUUCUGGAAAUGGCAUUGUGAUUAAGAUAUCAGAACAUGCAAGUUGGUCUGGAUGCUUUUACUUCCGGAUAAUCCAAUCUGCCCUUGCUGCAAUAGGAGCGCCUGAGGACCUUGUUGAGGUCAUAACAGGAUUUGCUGAAACUGGAGAAGCGUUGGUAUCUUCUGUUGAUAAAGUCAUAUUUGUUGGAUCACCUGGUGCGGGGAAGAUGAUAAUGAGAAAUGCUGCUGAGACACUUAUUCCAGUUACUCUAGAGCUUGGUGGCAAAGAUGUAUUUAUUGUUUGUGAUGAUGUAGAUGUGGACCAUGUUGCGCAAAUUGCUGUCAGGGCUGUUCUUCAGUCAAGUGGACAGAACUGUGCUGGGGCUGAGAGAUUUUAUGUCCACAGGGAGAUUUAUUCUUCUUUUGUCAGUAAAGUUACCAAAAUCAUAAAAUCAGUUAGAGCUGGCCCACCACUUGCUGGAAAGUAUGAUAUGGGAGCUUUAUGCAUGCAUGAGCAUUCUGAAAAGCUUGAGGGCCUUAUCAAUGAUGCUUUAGACAAAGGAGCCGAGAUCGUUGCUCGUGGAAGUUUUGGACAUAUAGGUGAAGAUGCUGUUGAUCAAUAUUUUCCCCCUACUGUGAUUGUGAAUGUGAACCACUCAAUGAGACUGAUGCAAGAAGAGGCAUUUGGACCAAUCAUGCCAAUAAUGAAAUUUAGCUCUGACGAGGAGGUUGUCAAGCUCGCAAAUGACUCAAAAUAUGGGCUUGGCUGCGCUGUUUUCUCAGGUUCUCAGGACCGUGCUAGAGAUAUAGCUUCACAAAUACAUUGUGGGGUUGCUGCCGUUAAUGACUUUGCAGCAACGUACAUGUGUCAGUCCCUGCCAUUCGGCGGCGUAAAACAUAGUGGAUUUGGACGAUUCGGUGGUGUAGAAGGUUUGCGAGCCUGCUGUCUUGUCAAGGCAGUUGUCGAAGAUAGAUGGUGGCCAUUUGUCAAAACCAAGAUACCUAAACCUAUUCAGUAUCCUGUCGCAGAGAAUGCAUUCGAAUUUCAGGAAUCACUGGUGGAAGCACUUUAUGGACUCAACAUAUGGGAACGUUUGCAAGCAUUAGUAAAUGUUUUGAAGAUGCUUACUGAGCAGAACCCUGCCGCUGAAAGCAUUAAGAAGAAAAAUAACUAGGUGCGAGGUAUCUUAAUAUAGUAAAGUGGUGGUUACUUGCUAAUUGCUAUUGCCAUUUACAAAUCAUGUCGAAGAGACGAAAUGAAUGGGGAGCAUGGGGUUUACCAUUUACCUGGAGAUUUGGGUUGUCAUUUGUCUCCAAUCUUCCCCUGGGUUGGGAUUGAGAGUGGAGGAAGUGGCCUGCAUAAGUAAAAUGGAAUUUACUCUAUAAGUCAUUCCUUUCUCUUCUUUUUUUUUGCAAAAUCUCGAUUCAUAAACUCAUUCUUAAUUUCAACAAAAAAUAGUUUUUUAUAU